GGAACAUUGCGACACUUGCAAGUUCUCCCUAGUUGUUAAGAUAGAAAGGCACUGUUCAUGAGGGGAAUCCUUUGGAAGUCCUGUCUUGCUGACAGAUAGGUCCCUUUGGAACAGAUUGGAGGUCUUCUCCCCACAGCAGAGGAAAAACAACAACAGCAACAACAAUACAAAAUGACAACAGAAAAAGCAAGGAUGAUGAAUUCCCAUGGACAGCUAGCAAAUUAUCUGAUGUGGGAAGCAGGUUCAGGAUUUCUGAACGAUGGAUGAUCCUGAUUGACAUUUCAUGUGACAGUUCUCAAUCUCUUCGUGAUUGGGAAAGUGGCACUUAUAACCACCAUCUACUGGCAAGUCAUUGGCUCUCUCUCCUUCUUGGCCUGGUUUCCCUGUCCCUCAUUCCUACCUUUUUCCAGGAUCACAAAAGCCGAUAACAAGCUUGCACUCAGGUUCUGCUUCCUGGAGAGCCCAGGCUGAUAUCUCACUUCAUAUUUACAACAACUAUGCAAGAUAUGUCUUCUUGUUGUUGUCUCAUAAAUAAAGAAACGGGAGAGUCUAACAAGAUAACUGACUUGUACAGAGUCACACAGCUAGUAAGUUACAAAGGCAGAACUCUGAUUUAAGUCUUCUGCCUCUCAUCUUGCAUUAUUUCCCAGGUACCACAAUAUCUCCUAGCAAUUUUUAUUUUCUUAAUUUUAAUUUUUUUGAAACAGUGUCUUUCUCUGUCACCCAGGUUGGAGUGCAGUGAUGCAAUCAUGGCUCACUUCAGCCUCUACCUCCUGGGAUCAAGCAAUCCUCCCACCUCAGCCUCUGGAGUCACCGGGACUACAGGCACGUGUAACCAUGCCCAGCUAACUUUUAAAUUUUUUGUAGAGACAAGGGCUCACUAUGUUGCUCAGGCUAAUCUCAAACUCUUGAGCUCAAGUGAUCCUCCUGCCUUGGCCUUCCAAAGUGCUAGGUUUACAAGCAAGAGCCACUGCGCCUGACUUGUCCUAGCAAUUUUUAUGUAUCAUUGUGUGUAAUUUAGGCCAUUUUCCCAACCCAAUUUUAAAACUGUUUAAAUGGAUUAGAGAUAAGACAUCCCAAGUACAUAAUUCAUUUCCCUAUUACUUAAAUGCUCUCCUUUCCCUUCUUCCCUAAACCUAUGAGUUUGGUAAUCCUUUUACAUGGCUUACUUAUAUCUGAAAUUACUUUUAUUCAAUAGAAAGUAUAUAAAUUAAAAUCUCUUUAUUGGUAUUAUCACGAUCUAUACCUUUCCAAGGAAACCACUUCUCACAGUCAAAUUAGGGAGGCUCUUGUAUCUUAAUCAAAGCUUAACAGUUUAAUCGUUCAUUAAACAUGAGAGUAAUUUAGUGUCCUACUAUGCAAUCAUUAUUGUUUCCUGAAAAUCUGGUAUGAUGAGGUACAAUAAAUGCAAACUGAAAUAUUGCCUGUGGAAAGUUAUUUAUUAUUUCUUCUAGCUAAAAACAUUCAUAACUGAAAUUUAUUGGCUCAUACUCCCUUCAUUAUAAAUAUUUUAUGUUCUGCCUCAGGGAUCCAUGUCUUAGCAUUUAAAUGUCUCAAUCUUGUGUCAGUAACAGGAAGAACAAGUUCACUGGGUGGAAUUUUUGCCCUUUGCUUCAGAAUGUUACAAUAAUAAUAGGCUAUAAAUAUGUUAUAAUUAUAUCUUUGAUCAUUGCCGUGGUUUUCUAGCCUGAAUGAAUUAAACUCAAAACUAAAGCUGAGCUGAUAGGCAAAAAUGACAGCCGUUAUCUUAUACUAAAAUUUUUCUGAAAACCAUAUUAAUAUAGUAAAAAUAUUUAGAGUGGCCAGGAUAGUACAUCAUUUUUCCUAUUACUGUACUUUUACUUUAAUGUGAAAUAGUACCUAUACCUAUUACCACCCUUACAUCUCAAUAAUGGUUUACAUUCAUUUAAAGUUUUACUUUUUUAGUUCUUUCAUGUUCUAGUCACAAUAACAAACUUUGAGGUACUAAGGACUGUUGCUAUAAUAGUCAUCGGUCAAAUGAAAAAUGUGAGGUUCAGGUAGUUAAAGAUGUCUAACUUUUUUAAUGUUAAUAUUUUUAGUUAUGAGAUACAGUAACAUAGUGCAAUGGUUUGAAUUAGGCUUCUGUUUUCUGCCGACCUCACCUGAUGGGGUCAGCUUGGGGUAGGAGGUGCAGUGGAGAAGGAAAUGGCAGAGAGGAGAGGACAUGAGCAGGUGACAAAACAGCAGACGACAGGUAAUGCUAUCUGGAGAGAUGAGGGUAUAAGACACAGGGAAUAUCCCUCAUCGGCUAUAUUCUCCCAGAUUCAUCUCCCUGUAUAAAGCCUACUGAGCAGAUUACUGAGAGAUUCCUAAAAUUGUGUAGCUUUCCUAGAAACCCCAGACAGCUGUGGGACAAAGACUUGUCCUUACCGAGAUGAGGCGUACUAGAUUGCAUUAGUUAAUGGAAAUUUUAAAGUUCCAUCUGGAGGACCUUUUAAGAGUUCUUUAUCUCAGUCCAUUCUCUUUAAAAUUCCAGAUACAAACUUUUGAGACCCACCCUUCGUAAGAAAAAAAAUGCAGAAGAAAGACAAAUUGGAUUUCAUUUCAAGAAAAUUGAAAAUAAAAUUCUUCAUACUGGUGUCUUAGUUCAUUUGUGUUACUAUAACAAAAUACCUGAGGCGCCUAAUUUAUAAACAAUAGAAAUUCAUUUUUCACAGUUCUGGAGCCUAGGAAGAUUAAGGCACUGCAAGUAUGCUGUCUGGUGAGAGCCUGUUCCUCAUAGAUGGUACUGUCUAGGUGUUCUCAUAUGGUGGAAGAGACGGAAAGAGAAAAAGAGAUGAACACUGUGUUCUCACAUAGCAGAAGAGUGAGACAGAAUGAACCCACUCCCUCAAGUUCUUUUAUAAGGGCCCCAAUCUCAUCCCUGAGGGCUCUACCCUUAUGACUUCACAGCAUCUAAAUACCCCACCUCUUAUCAUAUUGGCGAUUAAGUUUCAAUGCAUGAAUUUUGGGGAAAACAUUCAGACCAUAACACCUGGUAUUAAAUUAUCCAUAGAAGAAAUACAUGAAGGAAGGACUAACUCCUCUUAGUGUAUACAAACAUGUUGACAGAGAUGCUUUCCUUAAGAAAUAUCAUGUAAUUUGAAGGUAAGAUGAUUUUUUUCUUUUUCUUUUCUUUUCUUUUUUUUUUUUUUUUUUUUUUUUGAGACGGAGUCUCACUCUGUCACCCAGGCUAAAGUGCAGUGGCACAAUCUCGGUUCACUGCCACCUCUGCCUCCCAGGUUCAAGCGAUUCUCCUGCCUCAGCCUCCUGAGUAGCUGGGACUAUAGGCGCGUGCCCCCCAAGCCUGGCUAAUUUUUUGUAUUUUUAGUAGAGACGGGGUUUCACCGUGUUAGAUAGGAUGGUCUCCAUCUCCUGACAUUGUCAUCUGCUCGCCUUGGCCUCCCAAAGUGCCGGAAUUAUAGGCGUGAGCCACUGUGCCAGGCUGAAAAGAUGAUUUUUGAUAGCUUGAAUCCAGGUCUUCUUAGGGACUGAAUCCUCCUGCACAAUCCUGUAAGCCUACAUCCCCUCAAGUGUAUUCCUUCAAACACUUGUUCUCCAGGAUGUAAAUAAGUUUACGUGAAAAGAGUAUUCUGUGAUCAGAUCCUUAAAUGCUGACACCAGCCCGAAAAUAAUCUGUUGAUAAAGCAAAGCUAAUUUUAUUGUUUACUGUGCUAAGGGAGAUUGUUAUUUUGACAGUCUUAGUCACAUCUGAAUUCGAGAGAAAAAAGUUGCAGGUAUUAAUAAGAUGUAGGGGGUGGUCAGCGGAUCCUUCAAAGUGGGAGCUAGACUAGGACUGCAGAAGAUUCACAAUGUUAUUGUUUAGGAUUGGUGAACAUGGCAUGGAUAUGGUUUCAAAGAGAAUUUUUGAAGAGGAAACACUCUUUUCGUGCUAUAUUGUCCUGAGAAAAGGUAUUUUCUCUGAUGAAGUUAUUGGGGCUCAGAAACUGGUACCCCAGCAGCUUUGACAUACUGAACUAAAGAAGCAACCUCAAGGUCUCUUUGACCUUCCCCUACCCCUUCCUGUCUCUCAAUCCUCUGUCUCUAUCAAAGCACUUGAUGAAGCUGGUCUCUGAAGUUCCUUUAUCUGCCUGAAGUCCAGACCCACCAAAGAAGAAAACAAUUACCUCUGUUCCCUUCCUUGAAUUUGCAUUAACUUAAUUCAUAUGGCAAGAACAAAGACUAAAAGACCUGGACAGACUUUUGUCCAAACCAUUGUCUUCCUUUUUGGUCCACUCAGUAUUUCAAAGAGAAUCAUUUACCAGUCACUGUCUGUUUUGUGGGAUCAAAAUACUUUGUCCUAGGCCAUUGUAUCUUCUUCAAAUCCAUUUAUUUUCACCUAAAAAUCAUUUAUUAUGUCUCAAAUUGCCACACUCACCCCAUCUCCCUUUGCCCUAUGAAGAAGGGUAUAUAAGCAUCUGUACCCCACUGGGUCAUUGGGUAAUCAUUCUCCUGUGAUUUCCUUAUGUUAUGCACAGUAAAAUAAAUUUUAUAUGCUUUUCUCCUAUUCACCUACAUUUCUAAGUUGAUUUUCUGCAAAAUUUCAGAGGAAAAUAAAUUUUUUUCUAUGGCCCCUACAAUGGUAAAUGGAAUGUUUAGAUAAAUAGAUUUUCUGUGAGGUCCUGAAAUUAACAAUAAAGAUAUUUACAACUUUAGUUUCCUAAGUUUCUUGAAUAGUAAAAUCAUGUAAAACAAGAUAAAAAAAUAGUAAACUCUUGUUAGUGCAGAGUAUAGACAAUAAACUUAUAGUCUCUUGAACAGACACUUUGUAGCGAAACAAAAUGUGCCUUUUCUUUAGGCCUCAGCCAUCCUCAUGACAGUACCUCCCUAACACCUACCAUCUUUCUGGAUUCUUCCUUAAACUCUUACCUGAAACCUUUCUGCUUUGUAGUCCAAACUUGAAUCCCCAUAAUCAUUUCUAUUUCCAGGCCUUUUCUGUUGAAAAUCAAUCUGAUAUUUUCCCGUUCCUAGGAUUCCAAUCAGAAUGACAGGAUGCCAGCCCUAAGGAGGCAGAAACAAUAAAGGAUCCUUCCUUCUUAGAGCUGGAAGGGAGUGGAGGUUGACUUCAGUCUCUGAAUUUGUAUGUUAAUAUCUGUGUCCUCUCUAUAGGUUCAAAAGAUCUAUCUGAUGAAAGAAACAGUGAGGAAACAAUUAAUAUUAGAUGGUGGCACAGAAUUAAGUUUCAGGAUGUUUGUAGCACCAAAUAGAGGAAGGUUUUUUUUAAAAAAAAAAAAAAGUAUUUUAAGUCUUCUAUGAGUGCAAGUAGAAGGAAAGGAAGGGAAUGUUCUCUGUUGGGGGCCAAUGAUAUAUUGACUAAUGACAAGGAAAAAGCAAACCUCUCUUUGGACUGAAAAAAAGACAAGACAUGUUGAUAAGAGGAAACUGUAGCUUUAGCUGGGGAAGCAUAGUUAAACUUCUGGUCCUGAAUUAUUUCUAAAGGUCUCUAAAGAAUCUUCAAAUUAAAUCAUUAAACCAAACAU
rnacentral:lncRNA from 1 species